UCCAAUCAGCACAGGCUGCAAGCGCCAUCGGCGCACACCACUUCAUUCGAGUCUAGUUGAUCGUCCAUCGUUGUCUUUCGCGCUCCUGUCGAAUCGCCACUAUGUUUCUUGUGAAUUUCAUAUGGUUAAUCGCGCUACUGCAAGCUUCUUUUUAGUUGGUAUUUGUUAUUGAUCUGAAUUCCGAGCAUGUUUAUUCGCUUCUUUCGUACUAGAAUUAUUGAUUCAUCUCAACGCGCUUAUCGAUGUUUGUGUUGUGAACUCUCCGCUCGCCAAUACCCUGUUACAUUUGAUCCAACAUCGACGACUUCGUGUGGCAUGAUUUCUACCUCGCCAUUGUUCUACUGUAUUUGCCGUGCCUUGGAGUCUGAUGAAUUCUACAUUGGUUUAACGUUUUAACGAGACCUUACGGAUAUAUUGGACCAGCUGUGAACGCACGCUUCUUCCAGAAGGAUUUGAUAGAAAAUGGUAAUUUCCGGUAAAGCAAGAAACAUCUUUAAGAGCCCCCGCACACUACAAACUUUUUAUCGGCCGAUAUUUUGAUCGGGUUGGGCUGUGAGCGCGCACACUACGCCAACUAAACAGUUGGGUUUGUGGUGAGUGCGCACACUAGACAACAGUCGGCCGACUGCACCAAUACUCUGAGCGAACUAAAUUGAUCAAGUCGGCCGACUAAACAAUCGGUAGGUGUGCGCGCUUGCGACGAGCUCCAUACUGAUAUCGCAGUCGGCCGAUAGUUGGCCUGGUUGGCCGAUAGUUUAGUUUGAACGCAGUUGGGUAGCCCAUCAAACUUGUUUAUCGGCCGAUACAAAAUCGUUGUACUAUGCGGACUUGCAUACAUCUUCAUACUGAUUAUAAGCCCGACCAAACUAUCGGCCGAUAAAAAGUUUGUAGUGUGCGGGGAGCCUAAGCCCGACCAAACUAUCAGCCGAUAAAAAGUUUGUAGUAUGCGGGGGCUCUAAGCCCCGAUUGGCUAACGCAAUCGACACAAUUAUACAUAAAAUAUAAUACCUAAAACAUAAAUAAAUAAAGUUUUACAUUUGUUUUUAUUAAAAUAAUGGUAUAAUUUAAAUAAUUAUUUAUUUCAAUUUUCGAUGUAUAGCGUUAUAAAUGUAUCACUGUAGUACUGAAAUGGAAAUAGGUGGUAUUUUACUGUCCUACAUACAGUGUGAGUAGCCUUUACAAAAACACUAAUUAUUUAAUUAACUAAGGUAGGUAUACAGUAAACUUUUACGAAGACUCAAUCUUAUUACUUCCCAAAGCCUUUCUUUUCGUAUGCCGAGAAUAUUGAAAGCAAUUUCAGGUAUGUGUAUUUCAACAUUGUGAAUUUUUAGUUUCGUCUUCUCAACUUCGUGUUUAUCAGUACGUUUGUAUAUAAACAACUUUUUUUGUUCGACGGACUGACUCGUGAUAUCGCUGCAUACCUGCCUAGUACCGGGCUACGCGCAGCGCACACGGCAGUUGUUUCACCGCGUGGUCCGCGAGCGUAUCUCUCUAAUCGCCACGCGUUUUGAGGUUUUAAUUGGAUUAAUCGUCGUGUAUUCUUUCGGCCAUCGGCAAUAUAUUCACAAUGGGCAUGUGUGCCUGUUUCGUUUAAUGAUUUAUGGCGGUUAGAGUCUUCUUAAGUUAGAAAUAAGUGUCCGUUAAUCCCCGCGCGAGUUUUCUGUUGAUAGAAUAUAUUAAAGGAUAGAAAAUCUCCUCAUCAAUGCACAGGUGAGUGGAUAAUUAAUUUUUUUUGCGGAAAGUUAAGGCGGUUUAACUUAAAUUGACAUGCUUGAUUUAAUUAUUAUAAGCACUGUUUUUAAAAUUCAUAUGGUCGAUCACGCUUACCGGUCAUGUUUUCGAUGAUCACGUAAACAUUUUUAAUCGCAUUGCAUCAUUAAACUAAUAAUUUCUUGCUGAAAUAAAAUCUUGAACGGUGAAUAGUUUUUCGUUUUCGCAGUCUCAGUAUAUCUUAAUAUUCAUAAAGAAAUGGUUAUUUUUAUCGUCUUUAACCACUGUGUUGCUCCGCGCCGUCGCUUGCCGUCUGUUGAUUUAGGUAUUAUCCACCAGAUAUUCUAUCAAUUUAUAAUGAUGCUUCACCCGUCGGCUACGUUAUACAGUUGAUGCUACCAUCAAUUAAUAAAUAUACAUUUAGAAUAUAUUAAAAUGUAAGUGUUUUAUUUUUGUAGCACCCUCAAUUUUUCGAUGUUUUUCGGGUAAAAUCUCUGAUUUUAUAUGAAAAUAUUGUUGUUAAUUGGUAAAUUUCCCUCUUCAUAUUGUGAAUAUUGACUCCCUAAAAUUUUCUUUUUGUAACACCCUGUAUAUUAGUUUUCCUUUGUGUCCGUGAAAAUUUUGCUGUCGUUUUUAUAAAUUUUCCCGUUUGCCCUUUGCAUUUUCUUUCUGGUACACCCUGUAUACUAGUUUCCCUGACCGUCGAGUGAAAACGAGCGGCGUUUGUAGUGUUGUAUUUUUGUUUGCACUUUAAAUUUACAAUUUGUAACACCCUGUAUAUUUGUUUGCAUUUUCAAUUACCUAG